CUUCAGCACCCUGCCCCAUCACCCAAGCCACCAUGAUGCUUCGCCUCUAUUGCAAGAGCUUCCCAAUUGGUCUUCCAAUUGUUCUUUCUGCUGGUCUCCCUGAUGUUUUUGUUUCCUUCUACUAUUGACUCUUUUAAAACCAGAGGCCAAGGCUUUUUAUCUCACUUAGAUCAAGUCUGAUAUUCUCAUAAUGACCUCUAAAGCCUUAGAUAAUCUGGUCCCCUUCAACUCUCUCCCACUUAUCACCAGCCACUCUUGCCCAGCUCACUCUGCUCCAGCCACACCUGCCUCCCACUGUUCUUCAAACACACCACACAUCCUUCCCCUUCAGUGUCUUUGCCCUUGCUUUUCCCUAUGCCUGAUGCACCCUUCCUUCAGAUAGCUACAUGGCUUACUACAUCACUCUGUCCUGAGUCUGUUCAAAUGCCAUCUUCUCAGUAGGACUUUCUACAGCCACCAUACAUAAAAGGGUACAUCAAAUGUUAUUUUCCUCUUGCUGUGCUUUCUUGUUCUCUACAUAGUUCUUAUUACUAGUGACACAUUCUCUAAAUAUUCGCUUGUUUAUUGCUUAUUCUCUGUCUUCUGGCCACUAGAACAUAAAUAUCGUGUGGUCACAGAUGUUUUGUUCACUGCUGAAUCUCUAGCCCCUAGAACAGUGCUGGGACCUUGAUAGAUGCUUAAUAAAUAUUUACUGAGCAGAUGAAUAGACCAUGAGAAAUAAUUUGGCAAUGCUUUGUUGCACAAAUAAAUAUUGAGGUCAUAAUCAGAUUUGUUUGUUAGUAGCCUGUACUUAGGGUAGCAGCACAGGAUCCUCCUGAAGAAAUAAGGAGGUCUGCCCAUUUUACACAGGAGAGAGGAAGGCCAUCAACAAACCCUAUAACUGCAUUCAAGAUAGGAAUGGGAUGAACACCAGGGAUGAAGACAGCUGUGUGGACUAACAAAGAGGUUAGGAAUCUAAUCUACAAGACAGAUGCCAAUAAGGCUCUUGGACUGCCAACCCCAGCUCCUCUUUCCAGAAGCAUUGCCAAAGUUUUCUCAUUCUGAACUCAAAGUGCAGAAAAGCUACUGAUCUUGAAAGUUAUCUGGUUAAGAGUUCAAACCAUUUCCUUUCUCAUCCUCAUACUUCAUGAAGAUCAUCAGGAAGAGAGUUGAAAUCAGCCUGCCACUGAGCUACAAAAUCUUGCUUGUAAUCUGGACGCCUUAGAAACUCCUGGAAACUUGUUCUGUCGACAAUAAAAGAAUGAGAACGA